GAUGGACGCUGGCGGUGUGCCUAAUACAUGCAAGUCGAGCGGCAGCACGGUCUUCGGACUGGUGGCGAGCGGCGGACGGCUGAGUAACGCGUAGGAACGUGCCCCAAAGUGAGGGAUAGCCCACCGAAAGGUGGAUUAAUACCGCAUAUGAUCUUCGGAUUAAAGUAUUUAUACGCUUUGGGAGCGGCCUGCGUACGAUUAGAUUGUUGGUGAGGUAAAGGCUCACCAAGUCGACGAUCGUUAGCUGGUCUGAGAGGAUGAUCAGCCAGACUGGGACUGAGACACGGCCCAGACUCCUACGGGAGGCAGCAGUAAGGAAUCUUCCACAAUGGGCGAAAGCCUGAUGGAGCAACACCGCGUGAAGGAUGAAGGCCCUCGGGUCGUAAACUUCUUUUAUGAGCGAAGAAUAUGACGGUAACUCAUGAAUAAGGGUCGGCUAACUACGUGCCAGCAGCCGCGUAA
rnacentral:rRNA from 1 species